rnacentral:rRNA from 1 species
UAAAAACUCCUACGUCGCUAUCGCAGGAAAAACCGGACACAGGGGGUCCCAAGUGCUCAUGUAAGGAAAGAAAAAGCCGUGGGUCUAAGUAAAAGAGAAAAAGGGGGGGGCUAGACCGGGGCCAGCCGCGGCGGUUUACCGGCAGCUCAAGUGGUAGCCGCGACAACUGGGCCUAAAGCGUUCGUAGCCGGAUAAGUAAGUCUUUGGUUAAAUCCUGCAAUUUACCUGUGGGAAAUCUGGGGGAACUGCUUGUCUUGAGACGGGGGGAGGUUAAAGGUAUUCCUAGGGAGGGGGGGAAAUCUGGUAAUCCUAGGGGACCCCCCUGUGGGGAGGGCGUCUAAUUGGAAGGGGUCUGCCGGUGGGGGAGAAACCUUAGGGAACCCGCCGGAAUAAAAUACCCGGGAGGCCUUAGGCUUAAAUAAAUGGGGGUUCGGGGUGGGGGCAUCUACAAAAUGCCCCGGGGCGGAAGGGUACCGGUUAAACUCGCCGCCUGGGAAGUAGGGCGGCAGGGAUGAAACUAAAGGAAAUUGCCGGGGGAAAGGCCCAUUUCGUUUAAACUUGCAGAAUUAGACCCUUUAGGGAGGGUAAUUUCUAACCUUGGGGAAUCCUGGGCAUAGUUUUUUCCGGAACGCAAGUUUUUUCCCCCCUUCCCCCCCCCCG